rnacentral:lncRNA from 1 species
AGAAGUAGAGGUGUCAAACGUGCCUAUCACGUGUUGUGUCGUGCCACUUUUCUUCUGUGUCAACCGUGCUUCGUGCCGUGCCGUGCCGUGCCACAGGCAUUUACUUAGCGUGCCGGUCGGAGCAGAUCCUUAAUCGUGCAACUUAAAAAAAAAGACCAAUUAAAUUUUAUCGUGUGCCACUCCGUGCUAUUUUUUCUUUAUUCCGUGUCUGCUGUCGCGGCCAUUUUAUAACCGUGCGUGCCGUGCGUGCCGGCCCGCUAACGUUAGUCGUGUGACUCGUGUCGUCCGUGUUUUGCCCUGUCUACUUAAUCGUGUCGUGUCGUGGCCGUGCCGUGCCCAUAUUUUACAUUCGGUCAUGUCCCAUUUUUUUAACAUCACUACAAGAAAUUGGUCUUUGGUGACGAAUUAAAUUCAUCUCAAUUGCAACAUCUUUUUUUCUUUCUCUCAAAUGGUAGAGGAGGGCGACAAAAUGCAGUUUCGAGGGGUUUAUGGAUGCCAUCACCUCGUCAUAUUCAACAAGUAAAAACAAGACAGAAUGUGAAAAAAGAACGAUGUUGAGGGAUUAUGCCACCACCUCGUUAUAUCCACAAGUAAAAAAAAGACAAAAUGUAAAAAAAGAGCGUUUUGAGGGGUUCUGCCCCCACUCGUAUUUCAACAAGUAAAAAACGACAAAAGUGAAAAAGAGCAUUUUGAGAGGUUAUGGCCACCCGCGCUCGUUAUAUUCAACAAGUAAAAAAAAGACGAAAUGUGAAAAAAGCCGCGUUCGAGAGGGUUAUGGCCACCGUCCCUCGUUAUAUUCAACAAGAAAAAGACAAAAUGUAAAAAAAGAGCAGUUUCGAGGAGUUAUGCCACCGUCUUGUAUCUUCAAUAACUAAAAAAAGACUCACCACAAGUGAGUCGUGUUAUAAUUAACUUGUUAUUGUUUUUAUUUUUGGCUUUAUUUUUGGUUAUUUCAUAAUUUUUUUGUAAAAUUUUUUUCCAAUUUUUUUUUAUCAUGGCAUUUGAAAAGUCAAUUUAUUUAAUAAAAUAUAAUAUUUUUUUUAUUUAUUUCCUUUGUGGCCAUAGCCUGACAAGUCAAAAUUUUUUAUUUUACUUUUUUUUUAAAAAAAUAUUUUUAUUGUUUUUAUUUUUUUUUCUUAUGGCAUAGUUUAAAUUAUUUCAUUAAUUUUAUUUUAAUUUAUUUUAAUGCUAAUCUUCUUGCCCUUCCAGUCUUGCCCUUGACAUUUCCGUGUCGUGCUCGUGCAUGCCUGACUACGUCUAGGUCUUGCUCGUGCCGUGCCGGGCCAAAAUCAAGCCAACUAUCGGUCGUGCUUCGUUCAUCCGUCGUGCCGUGCCGGGAUUUGACCGUGCCUGUUCAGGCCCAACUAUGUGCAGUUGCUCGUUGCCGUGCUCCACCAUUGUCGUGCCCGUACUCGUACCCCCGCUCAGGAGGGAAACCGUGUCUUGCGUGCGUGCCGUGCCCAACUAUACCGGCUUAAAUCGUGCCCGUGCUGAUUUUUUCGUGCCGUGCCGCAAGACCCGCUUGACACCUCUAAUUAAAGUGGCUCUUUGUUUUAGGAAAGUAAUAAUGGGGGAAAUGAAGAAAUCAAUACGAGAUAAAUGUGGUUGGCAAGUGUCUGGUGGGUGUCAUUAAUUUUUGUUUUUGGUAAUACAUUUUGGGAGGAUCUUGAAAGUGUAUGUCAAAACUCAAAAGUGACAGCCAGGCUAGGCCUUGCCACUGUUUUGUAGAUGCAGCAUAAGGAUUAGGUGAAGUGUAGCUGAGGAAUUCAAAGGGUCCGUUUGGUAAUGAUUAAAAGUCAAGUUUUUUUUAAGCUUGUUAUCAGAAAAAUUAAGAUUUUUUGAUUUUUUUGCUUUUGUGGUUUUACUUUAGCUAAAACUAACACAAAAAAGCAAAAUCAUAAAAGCAAAAAAGCCAACUCUAAUUGACUUUUUUGCUUAUUUUAAACCAAAAAACUAAACAAAACAUGAAAAAAAAACUGGUGCCAAACGGAGCCAAAAUGGUUGUCAUGACCUCUGGCUUUUGUUCAGAGAAGGAAAAUGUCAUACACAUGGAUACAGAUUCCCAUAGCUUUCCAAUUCUGUGAAAUCCCAGUGAUUGGGCACUUUUGGGACCAGAUAAACAUAUAAAUGAAGGGGGUGUUUUAUGAUUUUACUACUGAGGCCCGCAAUUUAAAGUGUAGGCACAACAUCCCGAUAACAUAAUAUAGCUAUAUAUAUAUAUAUAAUAUAUAUAUGUAUAUAUGACAAAAAAACAAUGUAAUUUCCACGUAUUAAGUACUGAAUUUGAAAUUACGGUGUUUCCUUAUAUUUAUGAGGGGAGCCUCACUAGCACGUGAGGUUAAUUGAGUGUAUUAAAAAAAUAAUUACACUAUUAUUUCUAAUAUAAUUUUACACCUCCCAAAAAAUUAGUAAUUUGCCUAAAUUUUCUCAAAUUCUAUAAUUUUUGACCCUCCAACUAUAAGUUCUUUCUGUCUGGUCAAUUUAAAAAAAUAAACUAACCCCCGUUGAACUAAGUUGUGACAUUUUACCUCCAUAAAAAAUUAUUAAAUUUGCCUAAAUUCUAUAGUUUUAAGCUCGCUGAACAUAAGUUCUGACAAUUUUAAUCUCACUGAACUUAAAUUCUGACUUCAACCCUACUUAGAUGUUUUCAACAACAUAUAAUAAUUAAGAUGAACUUGUCAAGUUAAUAUAUUCAGAGUUGUAUAGAAGAAAAUGCGGUAAACCGUCAUCUCGAAUUUUUGUGUGCUUAAUUAUCCAUGCAAAAUAAUCACCUUUAUCUAAUAUUUGUAUUCAAGAAGAAUGUUUUUUUUAUUAUUAUUAAUGAACUGCUAGCGAAGGCUAACGUUCGACCAUAUGGGAUGGGAGUGGGACACACAAAAUAGUUUUGGGGAUGAGCCGAACCCAAUUGACACAGCGUGACAGCCAGGAGAGGCCACGUGUUCUAUUGAUGAGCAAUUCAAAGUGUUCACACGCUAGGCUAGGCACACGUGCUACACGUGUGCACUUUAUGCCACGUGUCGUCACCACACAUGCCACAUCAUCUUCUCUACUUUUACUCCGCCGCGCACAAAUACAUCUGACAUAGGCCGGUGGACGGUCUAUUGUCUCUACAAUCUCAUCUGCUCUCACCAACAUGAAGAAAACAAUCCCAUUUCACAACAAGAUUUUGUACGUUAACACCACAACAAAGGCCUUCUCCUCCUGUAUAAAGGCCCCAAGCCAAGUCAAUCUCCAAACAGGCCCUAUUCCAGCCCUAGUGGGCCAAACGGACCCACAAAACUAGACCACGGGGUACCACGGGGUAGAAUGUUCUCCAUACUGCUGAUCCACCUCCAAUCUAACCUGGACCGAACACAGGCACAGACUUUUCCAGGCCCACCGAUCCCUCACCCACCCGGCCCAGACCUUCCAGGCCUCCACCAAUCCCCUCGCCGGCCAGGCCCAGAUGUGCCUCCUGGCCCACCGGACGUGACUCCGCAUCAUGGCCCGGAUAUCGACUUCCCAACCAACCGGAGGUGGGGGGGGGGGGGGCUUGGUGCCACACCACACAACCCAUCCGUUAUUCUCACCACAUAUUUGAGUAGGUUUAGGUCAUUGUUUGGAGUUUUUAUGAUUGAUAUGCUUUAUGUCAGUGUAUGAACAAAGCAUAUUUAUAUAAUGCGUGGGACUUAUAUUUUUAUAAGUCUUUAUAGUACAUGUAGUGGGGUCAAUUACACUAUUUUUUUAUUAUAGUUUAUCAUAAAAACAAUUUUGACCCAAUAAAAAUUAGUAAUUUACUUUAAAUUUUAGAAAUUUUAUAAUGUUGACCCACUGAACAUAAAUUUUGGUUCUUUUAACUCCUCUAAACAUAAAUUCUGAUUCUUUUCACCCCACUGAAUAGUUAUUCUGAUUAUGUGCCCCUGAUUACAUGUAAACAUAAAUUGUUAAUUUACACACAAACACACUGCCUAUUUAUUAUUUUUGUUAUCAAGCUAGGUGGUGGAAAAGCUUUUGCAUGGGUGCUCCUACAUCUUUUGUGCUUUCUUCUCCCAAUUGAGGCACACAUUAGUAGUAUCUCUCAACUGAUCACAGCAACUCAAAAUUUCACACAAUUGAAUGUUGUGUAAUCCACAUUUAAACAAUAAUGUUCAGUACCUUUCCACACAUAAAAUGAUGCAUUUCAGGCAUCCACUGAAGAGCAAUUUUGCAUAAUGUCCUAAAAAAUAAAUGAAAAAAGCCCAAACCAAGCCAAGUGGAUCAAAUAAGGUUAAUUGCUGGAAACUCAAAUUUUAUAGACAAAGCUAAUAAUCAACAUCUUAGUAAGGUUAAUUACUCAAUAAUUUAUUGAAUGGAAAAGAACUGGUCACAAAACCCCAAUUAAUAUAGGUGGUUGUAAGCAAAUUAAACCAUAAUUAUUGAGGAAAUAUUUUGAUACACACCUCAUUUAGAUCACCUCAUUUAGAUUUAGAAUGUGGGUAUAUCUCAUUUAAUAGUCAUUAAAUGAAAAGUUUUUUUAAUCUUGAUUUUUAAAUAAAUUAAUAGAUAAUAUUAGCAAUUUGAGUAGCAGGUUAAACUUAUUUUUAUGAAUCGUUUUAAUUUUGUUAUGAAUUUUUGUGGACAUUAUUGUGAAAUGUUUUGUUAUGAACGGAUUUGUUAUGAAUUCUAUUAAUAUAUUUGGUAAAUUUAUGAAAUGAAAAUGUUUAUGGUUCAUUAUGAAUUUUAAUUGUCUAUCCUAAAGUAUUAAUUAUCGUGAAAGUUCACAAUUACAAGUGACUUUAUGAAUUUUAUUACUUUGAUUUAUGAAUAGUUAUGAUCAUUGUUAUGUUAUGGAAUUAGUGUUGAUUUCAAAAAAAAAUUAGUUACUUUUAGGCAUUAAUUAGCGUGGGUCCAUCAAUUAAAAGAAUGUUGACUUUGACAUGCCAUAUGUAAGAUCUUUGAAAUCGAUUAAAAAAAAAAUCUUCCAAAUACAAAUUUUAAUAAUUAAUUUUUCUUUUAAAGAUAAAAAAUAUUUUUCCUUUAAAAAUUAAAAUCAAAAUAUUUAUAAAACCUUUAUGGCUCAUAAAAUAAAUUUGUGGGUUCUAUAUGUCAAGCCCAAUACGUAAUUCACCCAAUAAUCUAAAAACUAAAUUUCUCAGGAAUCAUGAAGUAAAUUAAUCCAAAUCAACACGAGAAUAAAAAUACAAACUUCUAUUAAAUCCAAAUCAAACUUAAUAAAAAUAAAACUUUCUAUAUUAUACUAAAUGCGAUACACGAGUUUUACUAUUCUCAAUGCAUAGAGUUUGACUGAAUAAUCAAGACUCGAAGUUGAAGUUCAUAGUAUUUAUGAACUCAACUAAGCCUAAAAUUAAAAACAAAAGUUGCGGACUCAACUUUUAUAAUAAAAUUGACAAAACAAAAAAUAACUCAAGAAAUACUAAACACGUGACUCAUUUUUUCACAAUAUAUAUCAUAAAUAAUCUAAAACUUAUGACCAUCUUCAACAACAAUUAAUUGGAGAAAAUAAAAUGAAUAUUUGGUUUUCAUAUUUUACAUUUUUUUUCAAGAAAAUUUACUUUAUAUCAUCUAUUUCUGUCUUUGUGAGAAUCUCAACUUUUUUAUAUUUUCUUAUUUUGCUUGCUUUAAUUAGGUCUUUUUUUAUCUCUUGAAAUAAGUUAUUGAUAUAUAUAUUUAUUAAAAUUCUUACUAUUUUGACAUUAUAUGACUUGGCAUAACCCUUAUAUAAAAUAAAUUAUAAUAAAAAACCACAAAACUAAAUAUAUAACAAAUAUCAAUUUUGAUAAAGUAUAUUAAAUUUACACUAGAUAGUAUGGCAUAUCGCAAAGUUAAUUACCUGAGAAGAAAGAUAAUCCAAUUUCCAGACUCCAUUCAUGCCAUUCGAUUACGAGAAAAACUGAUUCCAUAUACUCCGAUUGAGAAUGUCCAUUAAUUCAAGGUUUUCUUUGGAGAUAGAAGAUCACAAAGAAGACAUAACAUUUGCAAUAAUAGAGAUUAGAGAACUCUGAAGUAUAAACAAUACCAUAACUACCUUUCAGCCUCUAACUAACAAGUCAAAAAACUCCUACUUCUUCCCUGUUGAAACGAUCAUUUUGAGCAUUUCAAGCCAAGUUGAACUUCUAUCAAACUAGGGAUAUGACAGUUUCUCCCGUAAUUGUUAGAAACCUGAGUCGAUCCGACUAUAAGGGGGUCGGUUUCUUUCCCGAGAGGGUAUGGGUGAAACUAUAGAAUACCCAAGCAAGUUUGGUAUUGCAACUCCCACCCUUAAAGACACGACGGGCACCCGUAGCAGUCCAAUUCUAUGGCAUCCAUAUGCGAUCCGUCUGAUUAUUCAAUUUACAAACUUACCCUCUGUAUAUAUAAUUAGGGGGAAGGAGAUAUGAAGUUCCCAAAACACAAUUAACAACCAACUAUUAAGACUUUAUUCCACAUGGUCAAUUGGUUUUAAGUUGGAUGCAUCGAUCUUUUCUAACACCAACAGAAGAGAAGACUGAACACUUGUAUUAUAAAUUGCUCGGAGAUAAUACAUAGAAGAUGAAAAAGAAAUAGACGAAGCCAUGAACUUACCAAAAAAACGUUUAAGACUUUGGAAUUGAGAGAUCUACCAAGAACGGUAUUUGCAUGAGAGCUUUGAUGUACUUGAUACUUGCAGAUUGGUCUUUCAAAGCUUUCUCACAUAUGAAUCUUUUGUUAGUUAAAAUAAAGAUGUGUCUAUAUAUAUAUGAACAAUACCUCAACUACCUUCCAUAAUAUAAGGAUCAAAAACUUCUUCCUUUUCAGCCUCGAACUAACAAGUCAAAAAUAGCAAGUGAGAUUUGGUAGGAUCGAAUUUAUCCGGUUGAAAGGGACAUUUUGAGCAUUUCAAGCCAAGUUGAACUUCCAUCAAACUAGAAAUAUGAAAAUUUCUCUCGUACUUGAUAGUUGAUAGAAACCCGAGUCGAUGCGAGUUUUUUCCCGAGACGGUAUGGGUGAAACUAUAGACUACACAACAAAGUUGUGGAUCUCAGAAUAAAUUUACAAGGUUUUAGGCUUAAAAAGUCAUAUUAUUUGAAUUGAAAAAACAAUGGCUUAUACAAGCCUUUGUGACAAGGAAAUAUCAACUGAAAAACAAACUCCACGUUACAACUCCUAAGAAAAACGUGUUAGUGGGUCUAGACCAAUUCAACCAAAAAACAGAUUACUCUCACAAAUAGGCAUUAUUAACAGAGUAACAAACGAAGCAACAAAUACGGAUAAGUCUCCUCCUAACAAUCUAUUCUUCACAUCCUCCCUUAAAUGUGAAUUGCACCAGUGCUUUAAGUUCUCCAAACAUUACACAAAUGCCAAGUUUAUCCGUAGCUUAAGAAAGACUCCAGUUUGAGAGGUUUAGUCAUGAUAUAGACACCUUCUCUGGGUGUACUUGCAGUGCACUAACUCUACUAUCCCUCUCUUGUAAAACUCAAGUAUACAAAAAAAUGAAACCUCACGUCGAUAUGAUUACUUCGACCAUGUAAAACGGGAUUCCUUGAAAGCUAAUAGAGAACUAUU